rnacentral:tRNA from 1 species
GUCCGGGUGGUGUAGUUGGUUAUCACGCUAGUCUCACCUACACAGAGGUCCCCGGUUCGAACCCGGGCUCGGACA